rnacentral:rRNA from 1 species
GAUGAACGCUGGCGGCGUGCCUAAUACAUGCAAGUCGAGCGAACAGACGAGGAGCUUGCUCCUCUGACGUUAGCGGCGGACGGGUGAGUAACACGUGGAUAACCUACCUAUAAGACUGGGAUAACUUCGGGAAACCGGAGCUAAUACCGGAUAAUAUAUUGAACCGCAUGGUUCAAUAGUGAAAGACGGUUUUGCUGUCAAUUAUAGAUGGAUCCGCGCCGCAUUAGCUAGUUGGUAAGGUAACGGCUUACCAAGGCAACGAUGCGUAACCGACCUGAGAGGGUGAUCGGCCACACUGAAACUGAGACACGGUCCAGACUCCUACGGGAGGCAGCAGUAGGGAAUCUUCCGCAAUGGGCGAAAGCCUGACGGAGCAACGCCGCGUGAGUGAUGAAGGUCUUCGGAUCGUAAAACUCUGUUAUUAGGGAAGAACAAAUGUGUAAGUAACUAUGCACGUCUUGACGGUACCUAAUCAGAAAGCCACGGCUAACUACGUG